rnacentral:rRNA from 1 species
CAACCUCAAAUUAGGUGAGAUUACCCGCUAAAUUUAAGCAUAUUAUUAAGCGGAGGAAAAGAAACUAACAAGGAUUUCCAUAGUAGCUGCGAGCGAACUGGAAAAAGCUCAGCACUAAAUUAUUAAUAAUAUUUAUUAAUAAAAUGUAGUGUUUAAGAAUAUUUUAAUAUUCUAAUAUAUCAUUAUUUAUUCAAGUUUAUCUUGAAUGGGGCCAUAGUCCAUAGAAGGUGCUAGACCCGUAGAAAUAAUAAUGUAUAUUAGAAAAAUAUUCUUUAGAGUGCAACCUUAAUUAGGUGGUAAGUUCCAUCUAAAGCUAAAUAUAACCACGAGACCGAUAGUAAACAAGUACCGUGAGGGAAAGUUGAAAAGAACUUUGAAGAGAGAGUUCAAAAGUACGUGAAACCGUUUAGGGGUAAACGGAAAAGAACUGAAAAUUCGAAAAGGGAGAUUCACGUCUUGUCAUUUGUUAAAAUAUAAUAUGUUUUAGGAUAAUUAUAAAUCUAAUCAAUUUAUUUUGUAUUAGUAAUUUGUAAUUGCCUAUAAUUAUUAUAAAUAUCAAUGAAAGACCGCAAUUCUCUCUUAGUAGGACGUCGCGACCCGCUUAUUUUUAAUUUAAGAAUUAAUUCUGUUUUAGUUUUAUUAUAAUAGAAAUAUUAUAGUAAAAGGAUUAUUUUCUAAUUACUUAAUAGGCGGUAUAAAACGACAGUUGGUGAACCGCAUUAAGCGUUAAUUUAGUUAUUCAUUUAUUAUUUUUAGUUUAUUAGGAUAUUGUUCCUAAUUUACUAUAAUAAUUAUGUUAACUUUAUAUUAACCUGGUUUACAACACUAGUCGGCGGCGCUACAGUUUCAGUAACUUUUCCGACCCGUCGAAACACCCAAGGAGUCUAACAUGUGCGCAAGUCAUUGGGUUAUAAAACCUAAAGGCGUAACAAAAGUAAAGUAAGCUUUGCUUUAUUAGGGAGGAUAGUUGUUAUUUAUUAAUAGCUCGCACUCCCGGGGCGUUAAUAAUUCAUUGCGAAUUAAGGCGCACCUAGAGCGUACAUGUUGGGACCCGAAAGAUGGUGAACUAUGCCUGGUCAGGAUGAAGCCAGGGGAAACCCUGGUGGAGGUCCGUAGCGAUUCUGACGUGCAAAUCGAUCGUCAGAGCUAGGUAUAGCGGCGUUAGACCAAUCGAACCAUCUAGUAGCUGGUUCCCUCCGAAGUUUCCCUCAGGAUAGCUGGUGCCAAUGAUGAUUUUGAGUCUCAUCUGGUAAAGCGAAUGAUUAGAGGUCUUGGGGUUGAAACGACCUCAACCUAUUCUCAAACUUUAAAUGGAUGAGAACUUUGGCUUUCUUAAAAAUGAAGCCAAGGAUUCGGAUCUAGGUACCAAGUGGGCCAAUUUUGGUAAUGUGGGAUGAACCAAACGGAAAGUUAAGGCGCCCGAAUUGACGCUCAUUAGACACCAUGAAAGGCGUUGGUUGCUUAAGACAGCAGGUCGGUGGCCAUGGAAGUCGGAAUCCGCUAAGGAGUGUGUAACAACUCACCUGCCGAAGCAACUAGCCCUAAAAAUGGAUGGCGCUGUAGCGUCGUGCCUAUACUUUCCCGUCAACGGUAAAUAUGGUUUACUCAUUAUUGUUUAAACUAUUAUGCCUUGACGAGUAGGAGGGUCACAGCAAUGAGCGUAGAAGGGUCUGGGCGUAAGCCUGCCUGGAGCCGUUGCUGGUGCAGAUCUUGGUGGUAGUAGCAAAUACUCCAGCGAGGACCUGGAGGACUGUUGUGGAGAAGGGUUUCUUGUGAACAGCUGUUGCACAAGAGUCAGUCGAUCCUAAGCUCUAGGAGAAAUCCGAUGUUGAUGGAUGUUAAAUUAAAUAGCUUAUUUAAUUUAGCUGCAUCCAUUGAGCGAAAGGGAAUCCGGUUCCUAUUCCGGAACCCGGCAGUGGAACCGAUUCAUAUCGAGCCCUGUGUUCGUCGGGGUAACCCAAAAUGACCCGGAGACGCCGUUGGAAGGUUCAGAGAGAGUUGUCUCUUCUCUAUAAGCGUUCGAGUUCCCUGGAAUCCUCUAGCAGGGAGAUAGGGUUUGGAACGCAAAGAGCAUCGCAGUUACGGCGGUGUCUGAAUCUUUCCUUCGGACCAUGAAAAUCCGGGGAAGGGCUACGAGGAAUCCCACGCCGGAUCGUACCCAUAUCCGCAGCAGGUCUCCAAGGUGAAUAGCCUCUAGUCGAUAGAAUAAUGUAGGUAAGGGAAGUCGGCAAGUUCGAUCCGUAACUUCGGGAUAAGGAUUGGCUCUGAGGAUCGUGGCGUGCUGGGCUUAGUUGGGAAGUGGAGCGGUGUCAACGAGCCGGGCCUGGGUGAGAUCAACUUUUUUGUUAAUCUGAGCUCGGUCCCGUGCCUUGGCCACCCAUGGAUCUUCUUUGCAAUAAACCUUUCAGUUGUUCUAGUUGCUAGUUUAUCUAGUAAACGGAUUGUUUGGUUUUUCGGCCGCCUUUUAACGAUCAACUCAGAACUGGCACGGACUAUGGGA